CGCAGAGAUCCCACCCUGUGCCCUGCCGCAGAGACCCCCGGAGGAAAAGCAGACUCCCAGCGCCAGAGCCCCUGUGCUAGCAGGAGAGGGCGGUCCGGCCAGGCCCGCGAGAAAAUCCCAGCCCUUCCGAAUCCCUCCAAUCCUGCAUGGACUAGGACUGCAGUACAGUGUUGAGAAGAAGUGGAGAGAGUGGACAUCCUUGUGUCUUCCACAAUUGCAGGCAGAACAUUUUUACUUAUUAAGUACGAUGCUUGCUGUACCUCUCUCCUAUGCAACCUGUGUCAUAAUAAGGAAGUGUCCACCAAUUCCCAGUUUGCAAAGAGCGUUUUAAAACUUCAUGUUUUGGCACACAGGCUGUGCUGGCUUCACAUAAAAUCACUGGGAAUCGUUCCGUUUUCUUUGCUCCGGUGGACUUCGGAAAUGUUUGCAUCCUUGGAUGAAAGGUGGCGUGCGAUGAGCCCCCAGACAGAAGACAACUUGCUGUAGCUACCACCUGCGGUCUCCGGAAAAUUCCUCCUCUUCAGAGGCUGCACUCUGCAACUCAGAGCCUUUCUCUUUCUCCACCUGAGACCGGUUAUUGCUUUUAGCCCAGAGCCAUCGCAAGACUCAGAGAGCAAAGAUACAGUGGGAGCCCUAAAAUAAAUUACAAAGUCCAAAACGGAACACACUUAGAGUGAGCUCCCAGUGGGAAAAAAAUAGGUAAUGCUUCAGAGCUGUUUACAUAAAAGAAACCGCCGGACCAAUAUAUCAUUGGGUCCUUUUAACUUUAGCAUCUGAAUGGAUUUAAUUCUGAUUUUUAACUUGACCGAUCAAUUCAUACAUUGGAGCAGUUGCAAUAUCCUCUUGCUUACAGCGACCGACUUGCCACUUGUUGUCUGUCUGGCAGCAGGCUUGUUUCUUCGGCAAAUAUUAAGGAAGACCCACUGAGUGCCAGUUCCCUGCCAGGCACUGGGCUGCCAGCGGAGAGCCAGCCCGUCCGCAGGGAGCCAGGCUCUGGUGGACAAGUCGAACCCUCCCGGGACACUCCGCACGGCUUCGACAGGCCUGGGUGGCAAGCUCGGACACUUCUGGCCUGGCCGUUUCCGGGAAACACUUGCUGGACCACAGCGGCUCAGUGGUCUGUGCCAUACUUUCCAGAACAUUCUCCGCCUCUAGCCAGCAGCCUGCCCCCCCCCACCCCCAGCACUGCCUGCAGCUCACGCUACAUUCAUUGAUUGACAGGCGCAGAUGCACCCCGGGCCAGGGAGCCUUGAGCAGAGCAAAUGUGAAUCUGCUGUGCUAUGAGCCCAGGGCCCUCCCCUGUUGGGUGUGUGUGACUCCCAGGCCAGACCCCUAAGGGCGCCCGCUGUCACCCUGGAUGCACAGGGCUGGCGCUGGCUUUGCGGCCCACUGUGGGCGACACUGUGGCCUGGGGCGGGGCAAGGCCUGCUCCGAGGCACGCACGCCCUGCCACCCUCCGCGAGUCCCUACCCUCCACUCCCGGGCUGUGAUUUCCGGGCCCAGACAGCACCGCUCAUCUGCGAGCACAGACGGGAAACGAGCUGCCCCCUCGGACAACCUGUGACCUCCGGCGACUGCCGCCAGGGCCACUCAGGGCAACU